AAAAGAAGCUUAGUAUUCAUCCAUACUCCACCUAAUAAUAGCAAGCUCCUGUCUGUUGCGCAAGUCUGUGCUGUAGACAUGGUGACAUCAGCAUUAGAGACCCAAGGGACCAUUACUGAUGCCCACGUACUCCCAGGUUGCCAAAUUGCCCGGCCUCACCAACUGUGACCCACAGAGGGGUGUGACAAAGGAGCAUGUGCCAUAGGACAGCACAACACAGAGAGCUCACAGGAGCUCAGAUGACUGCUGAAUGCCGGUAUCCCCCUUGUUUGACUCUGAAUUCUGUAUAUGAAUGCAAAAGUAAACAAAGAAAAAUAAAUCACAUCAUCAUCACCCAUGGGAUAUAACAGACCUUCUGGACAGAGGAAAAGAAUCAGAUGUCAUGUGUACCUAAGAAUAUUUUUUUACCCUCUUCUGCAUUAUGUUCUUCUAAGCAAACCAUUGAAGCAUGAUUCAAUUGAAGACAGUACGCAGUGUGUGUGACACUGAUUCACAAGAAUGUAUACCUAAGAGUGAGCCGAGGCACUGAGCUCUGUAAGUUGAACUGGUUAAAAGGAAGAAGGUUGUGUCAGUCUGUUCAAUUUGUCUUCCAAUGACAGUUCAGAUAGGCACCGAUGAAUGAGAAUGCCAUUCUGAUGUGCCUAAUGUAUUGUAGGCAGCAAUCAGAUCUUUGGUAUAAACAAGGUAUAACAGGCUGAACAUGGUAUUCCUCAUCUGAAAAGGUGUCAGUGUCUAGACAAAGAGGAUGACAUCCUUUAAAGUGCCUUUGGAUAUUAGACAGCGAUUCAGUGCACCCUGGACUCAGAUGGUGGUGAUGUGGCUGAUGUAUGUACAGUCAAGACAAUUAAGUUACAUUAAUCACAUUCUGAGUCAAUUACAGUUCCAGGGAGAUUUGGGAUUUGCCUUAUGUAAGAAGAAGGCUCAUUUUAUGUUUCAGUUACAAUAAAGAAUUU